GACGAACGCUGGCGGCGUGCUUAACACAUGCAAGUCGAACGGAAAGGCCCUGCUUUUGUGGGGUGCUCGAGUGGCGAACGGGUGUGUAACACGUGAGUAACCUGCCCUUGACUUUGGGAUAACUUCAGGAGAAUGGGGCUAAUACCGGAUAGGAGCUCCUGCUGCAUGGUGUGGGUUGGAGAGUUUCGGCGGUUGGGGAUGGACUCGCGGCUUAUCAGCUUGUUGGUGGGGUAGUGGCUUACCAAGGCUUUGACGGGUAGCCGGCCUGAGAGGGUGACCGGCCACAUUGGGACUGAGAUACGGCCCAGACUCCUACGGGAGGCAGCAGUGGGGAAUAUUGCACAAUGGGCGGAAGCCUGAUGCAGCAACGCCGCGUGCGGGAUGACGGCCUUCGGGUUGUAAACCGCUUUUGGCUGGGAAGAAGCGUGAGUGACGGUAACUGGAGAAGAAGCACCGGCUAACUACGUG
rnacentral:rRNA from 1 species